rnacentral:rRNA from 1 species
GAUGAACGCUGGCGGCGUGCUUAACACAUGCAAGUCGAACGAAGCAUUUAGGACAGAUUACUUCGGUUUGAAGUUCUUUAUGACUGAGUGGCGGACGGGUGAGUAACGCGUGGGUAACCUGCCUUGUACUGGGGGAUAGCAGCUGGAGACGGCUGGUAAUACCGCAUAAGCGCACAAUGUUGCAUGACAUGGUGUGAAAAACUCCGGUGGUAUAAGAUGGACCCGCGUCUGAUUAGCUAGUUGGUGAGAUAACAGCCCACCAAGGCGACGAUCAGUAGCCGACCUGAGAGGGUGACCGGCCACAUUGGGACUGAGACACGGCCCAGACUCCUACGGGAGGGAGCAGUGGGGAAUAUUGCACAAUAGAGGAAACUCUGAUGCAGCGACGCCGCGUGAGUGAAGAAGUAAUUCGGUAUGUAAAGCUCUAGCAGCAGGGAAGAUAGUGACGGUACCUGACUAAGAAGCUCCGGCUAAAUACGUG